UACGAAGGGGGCUAGCGUUGCUCGGAAUCACUGGGCGUAAAGCGCACGUAGGCGGGUUUCUAAGUCAGGGGUGAAAUCCUGGAGCUCAACUCCAGAACUGCCUUUGAUACUGGCGGCCUUGAGUCCGGGAGAGGUGAGUGGAACUGCGAGUGUAGAGGUGAAAUUCGUAGAUAUUCGCAAGAACACCAGUGGCGAAGGCGGCUCACUGGCCCGGUACUGACGCUGAGGUGCGAAAGCGUGGGGAGCAAACAGG
rnacentral:rRNA from 1 species